GUGCCAGCCGCCGCGGUAAUACCGGCAGCCCGAGUGAUGGCCGAUCUUAUUGGGCCUAAAGCGUCCGUAGCUGGCCGCGCAAGUCCAUCGGAAAAUCCACCCGCCCAACGGGUGGGCGUCCGGUGGAAACUGCCUGGCUUGGGGCCGGAGGACUCGAGGGGUACGUCCGGGGUAGGAGUGAAAUCCCGUAAUCCUGGACGGACCACCGGUGGCGAAAGCGCCUCGAGAGGACAGACCCGACCGUGAGGGACGAAGGCCAGGGUCUCGAACCGGAUUAGAACCCGAGUAGUCC
rnacentral:rRNA from 1 species